rnacentral:rRNA from 1 species
GCUGGUCGCCGGCUUCUUAGAGGGACUGCGGUUGCGUCUAGCCCGCGGAAGUUUGAGGCAAUAACAGGUCUGUGAUGCCCUUAGAUGUUCUGGGCNCGCACGCGCGCUACACUGACAGAGCCAGCGAGUCAUUGAACCUUGGCCGGAAGGUCUGGGUAAUCUUGUGAAACUCUGUCGUGCUGGGGAUAGAGCAUUGCAAUUAUCGCUCUUCAACGAGGAAUUCCUAGUAAGCGUGAGUCAUCAGCUCGCGUUGAUUACGUCCCUGCCCUUUGUACACACCGCCCGUCGCUACUACCGAUUGAAUGGCUUAGUGAGGUCUUCGGAUUGGCUUCGGAGGGCCGGCAACGGCCCACUGUUGCUGAGAAGUUGAUCAAACUUGGUCAUUUAGAGGAAGUAAAAGUCGUAACAAGGUUUCCGUAGGUGAACCUGCGGAAGGAUCAUUACCGAGUCGUCGACACGAGUUGUUGCUGGUCCUUCGAAAGGGGACACGUGCACGCUCUGUUUACACAUCCACUCACACCUGUGCACCCACUGUAGUUCUAUGGUCUGGGGGGCCCUGCCUCCCUUCUGUGGUUCUGCAUCUUUACACACGCCGUAAUAAAGUCUUAUGGAAUGCACAUCGCGUUUAACGCAAUACAAUACAACUUUCAGCAACGGAUCUCUUGGCUCUCGCAUCGAUGAAGAACGCAGCGAAAUGCGAUAAGUAAUGUGAAUUGCAGAAUUCAGUGAAUCAUCGAAUCUUUGAACGCACCUUGCGCCCUUUGGCUAUUCCAAAGGGCAUGCCUGUUUGAGUAUCAUGAACACCUCAACUCUCGUGGUUUGCCACGAUGAGCUUGGACUUUGGGGGCUUUGCUGGCCUACGGUCGGCUCCUCUCAAAUGAAUCAGCUUGCCAGUGUUUGGUGGCUUCACAAGUGUGAUAAAUAUCUACGCUUGCGAUUGUCCGCCAGGUAACCUUCAGCGAUGGAAAUUCGCUGGGGCUCAUAGACGUCUCUCCUCAGCGAGGACAGUUUUUUAAAGUUCGAUCUCAAAUCAGGUAGGAUUUCCCACUGAACUUAAGCAUAUCAAUAGGCGGAGGAAAAGAAACUAACAAGGAUUCCCCUAGUAACUGCGAGUGAAGCGGGAAGAGCUCAAAUUUAAAAUCUGGCGUGCCUCUGGCCGUCCGAGUUGUAGUCUGGAGAAGCGUUUUCCGCGUUGGACCGUGUACAAGUCCCUUGGAACAGGGCGUCAUAGAGGGUGAGAAUCCCGU